rnacentral:tRNA from 1 species
UGGGGGAUCGUUCAAUGGUAGGACACAUGGUUUUGGUCCAUGGGAUUGGGGUUCGACUCCCUAUCCCCCAGCAA